GUCGGAUUAGCUUAACGGUAAAGCAACUACCUUGUAAGUAGUUUAUUGGGAGUUCAAAUCUCUUAUCCGGCA